CGGGGCUCAAUGCCUUGUAAUUGGAAUGAUGGGAAUCUAAACCCCUUCCAGAGUAUCAAUUGGAGGGCAAGUCUGGUGCCAGCAGCCGCGGUAAUUCCAGCUCCAAUAGCGUAUAUUAAAAUUGUUGCAGUUAAAAAGCUCGUAGUUGAAUUUCUGCCGCCCCGACGAGACCCCACGGCCCCGACGCUGCGGCUUAUUUCGGACUUGCGUGCAUCUCCGAAUGUUUACUUUGAGAAAAUUAGAGUGCUCAAAGCAGGCCCUUGCCUUGAAUACUUUAGCAUGGAAUAAUAAAGUAGGACUUUGGUUCUAUUUUGUUGGUUUAGCACCAAAGUAAUGGUUAAUAGGAACAGUUGGGGGCAUUCGUAUUUAACUGUCAGAGGUGAAAUUCUUAGAUUUGUUAAAGACGAACCACUGCGAAAGCAUUUGCCAAGGAUGUUUUCAUUAAUCAAGAAC
rnacentral:rRNA from 1 species